rnacentral:misc_RNA from 1 species
AAAAAAAAAAAAAAAAGAAAAGGGUACCACAUGGAAAGAUAGCAUAAGAGAAUAGCUUAAAUUGAUAAUAGGUCACCAAAUUUCACAAACAUUCCAAAACAUCUAUACAUGUCAGAUUCUUAGCUGACACCAUAAAAGGGGAAAUUAUUGUAGAGAUACAUUAGAUCUCUUAAACCAUAGUUAUUAAAGGCGCAAAGGUGUGUGCUUGAAUGAGGUGCGGCUCAAAAAACAUGAAAUUUGAUUAAAAAAAUUAAAAUUAAAAUCAA